CAUCAUAUUUCCCAUUAUUUUUUGACCUAUGGUUUGACUCCUUUGGAUACCAGCAGCAUCAGCAGGUUUCCGAGUUCUUGAUGGUGAUGGAAGGCCUUCUGAUCCAUCCAAAUUGCUUUGCAAUCCUGAUUCUUGACUGUUAUCCAGCGAAGCAGAUGCAUUUGGAUUCCCCCCAAUGCUAUGAGCACUAAUUGGAAAUGCCAAUGCAGAUACCUUUCCAUUAUCACUGAUAUCAAAUUGACGAUCAUCUGCAACAUCACCUGUAAUUACCUCUGAAUCCAUAACUAGCACCGAGGGGCUUUUUUGGUUCUCAAAACUCACAGCAUUAAGCAACUCAAGCGGUUGUGUUG
rnacentral:misc_RNA from 1 species